GGCUACGGCCAUGCCACCCUGAACACGCCCGAUCUCGUCUGAUCUCAGAAGCUAAGCAGGGUCAGGCCUGGUUAGUACUCAGAUGGGAGACCAUCUAGGAAGACCAGGUGCUGUAGGCA
rnacentral:rRNA from 1 species